rnacentral:lncRNA from 1 species
GCUAGAAAGCAAUUGGCAGUAUAUAAAUGAUGUUUCGAAACUUUGGUUGUAUUUGAAUGCAAUAAGUUCUGCAGUUGCGAUAAUGAAACAGUUCAUAACUACAGUAUAUUACAUAACACUAUGGUUGUGAAUGGUGCUUAAACAAUUACCUCCAAAAAACUGCAGUUUCCCCACAGUUGCGAUCUUGUUCCAUUGGCCGUGUUUCACAUUGUAAGCCCAAAGGCUAUUCUUCCUGCAAAAAACUAUGACAUUGCCAUCUUCAAGACUUCAAAGAGGCAACUGCAGAACUAAAUUUUCACUUUUCAUUUACGUGAUUGACAAUGCCUUCAUCUUUACGAGGCUCCUCGCCAUCAUUAAUUCCCUUCACAAUUAGAGAUUUUUCCCUUCACAAUUAGAGAUUUAGCUUAUUUCUGGACAUCGCACAUGUUAUCAACAACUCUAUAAGUGGGUCCUUUUGGUCUCUUUGCCGGUUUCUUAUGGAGUUCAUUUCCAACCUCUGACUUUACAACUCCCCUGUUUACAUAACAUAGGCACAUGAGAACCAAGCGAAGAAAACUAUACAUCCGAUUUAUAGUUUAAACUAGAAACAAACACCACUGUACAUGUGAAAGAAUAACAUUCCAUUUCUCGAAGUGAAGAUUGAUUAAGAUUACAUUUUGUUUGGGUUUGCAAAAAUCCUUAAAAAUCCAUAUCUCAAGCUCAUUUGGAUAUUUAAAUUUAACAAAUGACAAAUAGUUACCCCAUCCUAUGAAUUAAUUUUCCCUUUGACAACCCAACAAAAGGCUACUCUUCUUUCACACAUUUCUGAUCCUCUUAUUUACACAAAAAAACCAGACAAAAGACAAGAUGAUCAAAGAGAAGUUCAAACAAAAACUCAAAUAAUUGGAGUUUUAAAAGUGUAGUUGGGUACAUUGUGUUGGGUUUUUUUGGACGGAGGGAAGUUUUUUGUCUGGGAACGUACGUACGUAGUUAGGGCGUACGUACGUCCCGUAUCACAGAUGUUUGUUUUGAAGCUGAACGUACGAACGUCAAUUCGACGUACGUACGUCCUCCCUUGGUUUUGUGCAUAUGGGCCUAUUUAAGCCCAUUUCGUGUUUGAUUGUAAGGCUAUGUUAUAAAGCCAAUUUGAAGUUGGAAAACCUAAUCUUGAUGUGAGAGAGAUUGUGAGAAGCCAUUGGCAAGUUUGAGAGAACUUUUGUGAGGAAGAACACUUUGGUUUCUUCGUGAGGGCUUGUAUAAUCGUCUCCAUCCAAGAGAGAGAGAGUUUGUAUUCUCAAUUUGUGAUUGUCUCUUUGAGAGAUUUGGUGAGGAUUUGAGAAGGGAGGAAACCUAGGGUUUCUCCAUUUGUUUGAGAGCUUUGUACUAUCUUCUCCAAUAGUAAAAGUUCUAUUUGUUUGUCCGUGGACGUAGGCAAUAUUAGCCGAACCACGUUAUUUUGGUGUCUCUCUCUAUUAUUUGUUGUUGCUAAGUAGGUUUACUUCUUUACUACUUGCUUUGUCAUCUUUCAUACACUAUUUCAAUCUUGGGUAUUGGUGCAUAAGUUUCCGCUGCGCACAACACAUUGAAGUUUUAAAAGUGCAGUUGGGUACUUGGGUUUGCAGAACAUGGUAUGAACCUGUAAACUGAUCUGCUUUCGCAAAGAUUCAUAAUGCUAAUUCGAAGAUCACUACUCCAGACAUAAACUUCAAAGUAAUGUUCCCCAAGUAUCCAAUUUUUUUAUAUUUAAACCCAAUAUUGAGAAACUGGAAUAAGAGAAGAAUAUAUAAGGUAAAAUGGAGUACUGAAAGAAUAGUUCAAUUAGAAAUUUAAAAAUGGAAAUAAGAAUUAGUAGUUAAUACCUUCAAGAAGACUUGGAGAAAGUGAGAAACUAUGCAAUCUUUUGUUAGAGAGGAUAGACCAUUAUAACACCCAUAUAUAAAUCCUGUUCAAAGAAAAAAAAAUUGUCUUAAAUUUCAAAAUCUUAAUUGAUGGAAAAUUAAAAGCAAAAAAAUCAUUCCAACCACAUUACCAAAUUAUUAUAAAAAAAAAAAAAAAACAGAGAAAAAAUAACUUCAAACUAAAUAUAAAUUCUUGUGUAUUACGGUAUUACCUAUGGAAGAACAAAAGAUGCACCCAAGAAGCAAAUUGCAUUCUUCUUCCUCUUCCACCACUGCAAGAACUACUAUAGGCAGCACUCAAAUGGAUG